rnacentral:rRNA from 1 species
GACGUAGGGCGCGAGCGUUGUCCGGAUUUAUUGGGCGUAAAGAGCUCGUAGGCGGCUUGUCGCGUCGUCCGUGAAAACCCACAGCUCAACUGUGGGCUUGCGGUCGAUACGGGCAGGCUAGAGUUCGGUAGGGGAGACUGGAAUUCCUGGUGUAGCGGUGAAAUGCGCAGAUAUCAGGAGGAACACCGGUGGCGAAGGCGGGUCUCUGGGCCGAUACUGACGCUGAGGAGCGAAAGCGUGGGGAGCAAACGGG